rnacentral:rRNA from 1 species
AACGCGAAGAACCUUACCUGGGCUCGAACGGCUUCCCAACGGCGUUGGAAACAGCGCUAUCCCGCAAGGGAGUGGAGUCGAGGUGCUGCAUGGCUGUCGUCAGCUCGUGUCGUGAGAUGUUGGGUUAAGUCCCGCAACGAGCGCAACCCUUGUCCUGUGUUGCCAUGCCGCAAGGCGGCACUCGCAGGAGACCGCCAGCGAUAAGCUGGAGGAAGGUGGGGAUGACGUCAAGUCCUCAUGGCCUUUAUGUCCAGGGCUACACACGUGCUACAAUGGUCGGUACAAAGCGCUGCAAACCCGCGAGGGGGAGCUAAUCGCAAAAAGCCGGCCUCAGUUCGGAUUGCAGGCUGCAACUCGCCUGCAUGAAGCUGGAACCGCUAGUAAUGCCGUAUCAGAACGAUGGCGUGAAUACGUUCCCGGGCCUUGUACACACCGACGCGUA